GCCUAGCCGUAAACAUUGAUAGAUCUAUCCGCCUGGGUACUACGAGCAUUAGCUUGAAACCCAAAGGACUUGGCGGUACUUUAGAUCCCCCUAGAGGAGCCUGUUCUAUAACCGAUGACCCCCGUUCAACCUCACCCUCCCUUGCCCGCCUAUAUACCGCCGUCGUCAGCUUACCCUGUGAAGGUCUAAUAGUAAGCAAAAUUGGCACCGCCCAGAACGUCAGGUCGAGGUGUAGCGCAUGAGAGGGGAAGAAAUGGGCUACAUUCGCUCGAGCACUGAAAGAAGGAGGAUUUAGCAGUAAGUGGAAAAUAGAGUGUUCCACUGAAAUCUGCUCUGAAGUGCGU
rnacentral:rRNA from 1 species